UACGGGGGGGGCAAGCGUUGUUCGGAAUUACUGGGCGUAAAGGGCUCGUAGGUGGCCAACUAAGUCACACGUGAAAUCCCUCGGCUUAACCGGGGAACUGCGUGUGAUACUGGAUGGCUUGAGUUUGGGAGAGGGAUGCGGAAUUCCAGGUGUAGCGGUGAAAUGCGUAGAUAUCUGGAGGAACACCGGUGGCGAAGGCGGCAUCCUGGACCGGCAUUGACGCUGAGGAGCGAAAGCCAGGGAGCAAAGCGGG
rnacentral:rRNA from 1 species